UUGUUUUAGGGUUAGGGAAGGUCUUGGUAGGGUUAGAGUUAGGGAAGGUAUUGGUAGGGUUAGGGAAAGGUCUUGGUAGGGUUAGAGUUAGGGAAGGUAUUGGUAGGGUUAGGGAAGGUAUUGGUUGGGUUAGAGUUAGGGAAGGUAUUGGUAGGGUUAGGGAAGGUAUUGGUUGGGUUAGGGUUAGGGAAGGUAUUGAUUGGGUUAGGGUUAGGGAAGGUAUUGGUUGGCAUUGCAGAGUGAAGAACUCACCACUGUAGGUCUCUAGAUCGCUUUGGACGAGGACUUUUGUACAGCACCCUCUAUGUAGGGGAC
ensembl:lncRNA